UCCUCGGCCUCCCAAAGUGCUGGGUUACAGAUGUGAGCCACUACACCCAGCCUAAUUUGUGUCAAAUCUUGUGUCAAAUCUUAAAUCAUUUGGCAAAGUACAUAUGAGCACAUAGUAUUUCAUUCAAUUGGAGUUUCUUGGAUGUUUUCUUCAAGAUAUUUGCAGUUGCUGCCCCCUUCUUAAACUCUGGGUACUGGAAUCUUUUUAAUUCUCAAUAUGAGUAGAACUUUCUGAGCCAUAAAUUAAAUGGGAACUUGACCUGCAUGGCCACUGUGUAUGGCCCAGAGCUGAGCAGACAGCCAUAGUCAUUUUAUUAUUUGCAUAUUGGGGACUGAACAAAUGAGUAAAUAAAUUGAGGAUAUUUGAAACCAGGCUUUUUGCUUUUGGAGAAGGGGACAGAAGAGACAAUUCAGCAAGAGUCUGUAUUAAGGGAGCCUGAGCCACCUAUACAAGAAACCUUCUCAUGCCUUCUAGACCUCAUUGAGCCCAGAUGAUAGAUUGGUAAAAGACUGCCAUACAUAUGCCCAAUCUUACAGCUUCCUGGGACAGAAAAUGCCCAGUUCAUUCUGAGAAGCUCAGCCUGUGUGGUUACUUGAUGUUCCAUGAUUAAGUGUUAAAAGGGACUGUCUAGGCCGGGUGUGGUGCCUCACGUCUGUAAUCCCAGCACUUUGGGAGGCCGAGACGGGCAGAUCAUGAGGUCAGGAGAUCAAGACUCCGUCUCAAAAAAAAACUGUCUACAGAAAAGGACGUGGAUAUGUUUCAAAUCCCUAGAGACCUGUACUCAGUUCUCUUGCUGAUUCUAACCACAGGGUUCAGACAGCAGUGAUAUUUGCCACAGACACACUAAGCAUUAUCAGAUAUGCUGGGUUAUUAGGCCGAAGUGGAAGAGCAGUUUGCCCUAUAACCUGGAAUUACUGCAGAACAGUCUCUUAUUCUGGUCCUCACUUAAAACAGGUAGCAUCUCUGCCUUACUUGGCAAAAGGUCAAAGUAGCACAAUGAAAUAAAGUGUACGUUGGCUCCUAAAUCCAGAAAGAUCCACCAAGCAUUAUUUUGCACUGGUAGGUGGUUUAAGGUACAGCACCAUAUCCUUCAUUUUGGAAGGGCUAUCCAGACAUGCUCCAGACCAUUAGUCCCCCAGAAACUCCACUGAGGUGGCAUGCCCCUAAAUUUUGAUGGGGAUUAUCUCCCACUCUCUGGUUUGCAUGCUGAGGGCUGAUUACUAAGGCAUCUAAAGUACAUUUAUUUCCUACUCACCAGAUCAGACACCAUCAGCAUAAUGUCAUCGCUGCAGUGGACCAGUGUGACAUGUGGAACAUCAAGAUGGUCAGGAUUUUUGCAGAUUCCAUAUGGCAAAAUAUAUAGAGGGAGAUCUGGAGAUACUGAGACCCGGAACAGAGACACAAGGAAGGUCAUGUGAAGGCAGAGGCAGAGACUGAAGAAUACUGUCAAAAGCCACAGAUUGCCAGGAACUACCAGAAACUGAGAGGCAAGGAAGGAUCCCUGCCAAGAAUCUUCAGAGGCAGCAUGGCCCUCCCACAGCUUGAUUUUAGACUCCAAGUCUCCAGAAUUGUGAGAGAAUCUCAGCCUGGCCAGAAGCCUUCUUUGUGGGGAAUGAGAGGCCUUUCCAUCUAUCCAGAGUGACCUACCAGAGAUAGGACAGUUUGCCCAGCAAGUUUCUGAUCACUCUUCAACACCCAGCAAGAAGUCUCAUCCUCCAUGCAGCCUUCUAAGACCUCUCUAAAUACUGGUAUCAGACCCUCCUCUGGAGCACUCUGUCUUGUUACUGCAUUUAUCUCGCUGGAUUUCAGUGAAGUGUGUAGACAACUAAUUUGUGCCUGCCUGAUCUGUAAGCUCUUCAUUCAAAGCAGUUGGCUCCUGAGUACAGGAUAAACCCCUAGAAUUGAAUAAAUUUGGUCUUACCUCAU